rnacentral:rRNA from 1 species
GUCUAUGGCCAUGCCACCCUGAGCGUGCCUGAUCUCACCUGAUCUCGGAAGCUAAGCAAGGUCAAGCUUGGUUAGUACUUGGAUGGGAGACCACCUAAGAAUACCAGGUGCUGUAGGUA